AUUGAACGCUGGCGGCAGGCCUAACACAUGCAAGUCGAACGAGUGGCGGACGGGUGAGUAAUGUCUGGGAAACUGCCUGAUGGAGGGGGAUAACUACUGGAAACGGUAGCUAAUACCGCAUACCAUCGGAUGUGCCCAGGUGGGAUUAGCUAGUGGGUGGGGUAACGGCUCACCGAGGCGACGAUACCUAGCUGGUCUGAGAGGAUGACCAGCCACACUGGGACUGAGACACGGUCCAGACUCAUACGGGAGGCAGCAGUGGGGAAUCUUGCACAAUGGGCGAAAGCCUGAUCGAGCCACGCCGCGUGUAUGAAGAAGGCCUUCGGGUUGUAAAGUACUUUCAGAGGGGAGGCGUUACCCGCAGAGGAAGCACCGGCUAACUCCGUGCCAGCCGCCGCGGUAAUAC
rnacentral:rRNA from 1 species